CAAUGAUGACGUAAUCACAGUUUAUAAAUAAACAUUUGAACAACUGUUACGGUCUUCUUGGAGACGGUGCCAUCUUGUAAAGACACCCCUCCAUAUCAUGAGGGCCAAGUGGAGAAAGAAGCGUAUGCGCAGGCUGAAGCGCAAGAGGCGAAAGAUGAGGCAGAGGUCAAAAUAGACUGCCCACUUACAAAACCAUCUCUGUGACCUUUCUCAUGGACACAACAGAGCACUUGGGAGAUCCUUGGUCCCAAGUCUGGAACAAGACACAGGCCAAUGAGAUGCUAUGAAGAGAUUGUGCUAUUGUUGGUCAACCACCUGCCUGGGAGAUUUGAUAUGGGGACAUUCUGUGUUUACUCUUCUAUGAAACCAUCCCUACUCCAUUGCUUUUGUUGAUAUUUUCACAAAGUUUUUGAUUUAAAAUUAAAUGGACUCAAUAUUGAUCUGAAACUGGGUCUAAAAAUGUUAAGAGGCCAUUAUUUUUCAUUUUUGCCCAAUCAAGUUCAGUUGCAAAGAUUUGUAACGCUGACCUGGGGGGUAUCCUACGACGCAGGUUCAAGUUAACUUUGAACUCGGGAUAACCAGUCAUACUGAAGUGGCUGACUGAUUAGAUGUUUUAUGACAGAAUGAUGUGAAAAUUAAUGCAAUGCAAUGCAACACUGACUUACAAAUAAGGGGGAUGCUUGUACAUAACGCUACGUUUUUGACUGCUUCAAAAGGUUGGCCGCUUCGAUGGGCGUGACUGUAUUCAAACAUAUUUAGCUAAUGUGCCGCUAACAAACUACAUACUAUAGCUAAGUGAAAUAUAAGCUAGCAUAAUCUAAGGCUGAGGCCGUUUGGAUGUGCUGACAAAUUCUCUAAAAUUAGGUGGUUUACGGUACAAAAUAAACAUUCCCUGGCGGCUAUUCCUGCAGUCAGUAACCCAAUUGCAUGCUCCCUCAACUUGAGACAAAGGUUCAGGUGCUCACUAACAGGGAUGUGAACAAUUUGAGAAAUAAACUUUUGUGGACAUUGA